GAUGAACGCUGGCGGCGUGCCUAAUACAUGCAAGUCGAGCGAACAGACGAGGAGCUUGCUCCUCUGACGUUAGCGGCGGACGGGUGAGUAACACGUGGAUAACCUACCUAUAAGACUGGGAUAACUUCGGGAAACCGGAGCUAAUACCAGAUAACAUGUUGAACUGCAUGGUUCAACAGUGAAAGACGGUCUUGCUGUCACUUAUAGAUGGAUCCGCGCCGCAUUAGCUAGUUGGUAAGGUAACGGCUUACCAAGGCAACGAUGCGUAGCCGACCUGCGAGGGUGAUCUGCCACACUGGAACUGAGACCCGGUCCAGACUCCUACGGGAGGCAGCAGUAGGGAAUCUUCCGCAAUGGGCGAAAGCCUGACGGAGCAACGACGCGUGAGUGAUGAAGGUCUUCGGAUCGUAAAACUCUGUUAUUAGGGAAGAACAAAUGUGUAAGUAACUAUGCACGUCUUGACGGUACCCAAUCAGAAAGCCACGGCUAACUACGUGCCAGCCGCCGCCGUAAAAC
rnacentral:rRNA from 1 species